GCCGGGCACAGUGGUGCGUGCCUGUACUCCCUGCUACUCGGGAGGCUGAGGUAGGAGAAUCACUUGAACCCAGGGGGCGGAGGUUGCAGUGAGCUGAGAUUGCGCCACUGCACUCCAGCCUGGGUGACAGAGUGAGACUCUGUCUCAA
rfam:Pan troglodytes isolate Yerkes chimp pedigree #C0471 (Clint) chromosome 1, whole genome shotgun sequence.